rnacentral:rRNA from 2 species
UUUUUGAAGUCUUCGGAUGGAUAGAAGAACCCCUGAUGCCGUCGAGCCAAGAAAAGUUUCUAAGUUUAGCUAAUGUUGCCCGUACCGUAAACCGACACAGGUGGGUGGGAUGAGUAUUCUAAGGCGCGUGGAAGAACUCUCUUUAAGGAACUCUGCAAAAUAGCACCGUAUCUUCGGUAUAAGGUGUGGUUAGCUUUGUAUUAGGAUUUACUCCGAAAGCAAGGAAACUUACAACAAAGAGUCCCUCCCGACUGUUUACCAAAAACACAGCACUCUGCUAACUCGUAAGAGGAUGUAUAGGGUGUGACGCCUGCCCGGUGCUCGAAGGUUAAUUGAUGGGGUUAGCAUUAGCGAAGCUCUUGAUCGAAGCCCGAGUAAACGGCGGCCGUAACUAUAACGGUCCUAAGGUAGCGAAAUUCCUUGUCGGUUAAAUACCGACCUGCAUGAAUGGCGUAACGAGAUGGGAGCUGUCUCAAAGAGGGAUCCAGUGAAAUUGUAGUGGAGGUGAAAAUUCCUCCUACCCGCGGCAAGACGGAAAGACCCCGUGGACCUUUACUACAGCUUGACACUGCUACUUGGAUAAGAAUGUGCAGGAUAGGUGGGAGGCUUUGAGUAUAUGACGCCAGUUGUAUAUGAGCCAUUGUUGAGAUACCACUCUUUCUUAUUUGGGUAGCUAACCAGCUUGAGUUAUCCUCAAGUGGGACAAUGUCUGGUGGGUAGUUUGACUGGGGCGGUCGCCUCCCAAAUAAUAACGGAGGCUUACAAAGGUUGGCUCAGAACGGUUGGAAAUCGUUCGUAGAGUAUAAAGGUAUAAGCCAGCUUAACUGCAAGACAUACAAGUCAAGCAGAGACGAAAGUCGGUCUUAGUGAUCCGGUGGUUCUGUGUGGAAGGGCCAUCGCUCAAAGGAUAAAAGGUACCCCGGGGAUAACAGGCUGAUCUCCCCCAAGAGCUCACAUCGACGGGGAGGUUUGGCACCUCGAUGUCGGCUCAUCGCAUCCUGGGGCUGGAGCAGGUCCCAAGGGUAUGGCUGUUCGCCAUUUAAAGCGGUACGCGAGCUGGGUUCAGAACGUCGUGAGACAGUUCGGUCCCUAUCUGCCGUGGGCGUAAGAAGAUUGAAGAGAUUUGACCCUAGUACGAGAGGACCGGGUUGAACAAACCACUGGUGUAGCUGUUGUUCUGCCAAGAGCAUCGCAGCGUAGCUAAGUUUGGAAAGGAUAAACGCUGAAAGCAUCUAAGCGUGAAGCCAACUCUAAGAUGAAUCUUCUCUAAGCUCUCUAGAAGACUACUAGUUUGAUAGGCUGGGUGUGUAAUGGAUGAAAGUCCUUUAGCUGACCAGUACUAAUAGAGCGUUUGGCUUAUCUUUAAUAAAGCAU